UGGUAGUNCACGCCGUAAACGAUGAGUGCUAGGUGUUAGGCCCUUUCCGGGGCUUAGUGCCGGAGCUAACGCAAUAAGCACUCCGCCUGGGGAGUACGACCGCAAGGUUGAAACUCAAAGGAAUUGACGGGGGCCCGCACAAGCGGUGGAGCAUGUGGUUUAAUUCGAAGCAACGCGAAGAACCUUACCAGGUCUUGACAUCCCGAUGCUAUUCUUAGAGAUAGGAAGUUACUUCGGUACAUCGGAGACAGGUGGUGCAUGGUUGUCGUCAGCUCGUGUCGUGAGAUGUUGGGUUAANNNNNNCAACGAGCGCAACCCUUAUUGUUAGUUGCCAUCAUUAAGUUGGGCACUCUAGCGAGACUGCCGGUAAUAAACCGGAGGAAGGUGGGGAUGACGUCAAAUCAUCAUGCCCCUUAUGACCUGGGCUACACACGUGCUACAAUGGUCGGUACAACGAGUUGCGAGCCGGUGACGGCAAGCUAAUCUCUGAAAGCCGAUCUCAGUUCGGAUUGGAGGCUGCAACUCGCNUCCAUGAAGUCGGAAUCGCUAGUAAUCGCGGAUCAGCACGCCGCGGUGAAUACGUUCCCGGGCCUU
rnacentral:rRNA from 1 species